CGCUCUCUUUACAUAAGACGCACAUGGAACUCCAUGUUCAGCGCCUCUAUUCCUCAAUGAAGCCGCUACGAGCUCGAGUCCCCCCUCGUCCUCCUGAGUGGUCCCUUCCACUUCCGGUCUCGACACUUUCCAUUCAUUUCGCCCGGCUGCGGCCUGCUCGCCGGGCUCGGAGUGGCUUUGGACUGCAGGAACAAUCAGGGCGACCUGACCAGCUGCAGCUCCCUGUGCACACCCACUCAAGUCACCGGGUGGCAUGGCUGACAUUUGUCCUAGAUUGGCUAGGACAGCCGGCUUUCAAAUAGUCAUUAUUUUUGAAAUCAUGUGUUGCAACUUUUGUCUUAGGAAAUAGAGUCAUUGUUACUAUGAA
rnacentral:lncRNA from 1 species